rnacentral:rRNA from 1 species
GAUGAACGCUAGCUACAGGCUUAACACAUGCAAGUUGAGGGGCAGCAGGGAUUUAGCUUGCUAAAUCCGCUGGCGACCGGCGCACGGGUGCGUAACGCGUAUCCAACCUUCCCGUUACUCCGGGAUAGCCUUCCGAAAGGGAGAUUAAUACCGGAUGGUGUUCAAUUGGUGCAUAUUAUUUGAACUAAAGAUUUAUCGGUAGCGGAUGGGGAUGCGUACCAUUAGAUAGUAGGCGGGGUAACGGCCCGACCUAGUCCACGAUGGUUAGGGGUUCUGAGAGGAAGGUCCCCCCANACUGGAACUGAGACACGGUCCAGACUCCUACGGGA